CCAGAAAGGAGUUCUCUUAUAACACAGUUUAUGACAUAUAAUCUGCUGUAAUUCUUGCUGUAGUCCAUGGAUAAUUCAGUAUUAGUUAUGCUAUUUUAGUUCUAGUAGCACCUCUGUGCUGCUGAAAUUCUCCAAAUAAGGGGCCAGAUUGUAACCUACCUUAGAUACCUGUAUUAUGGGUAGCAGUGAGAGACACAGACCCGACUGUUACAUCGCCUCCUGCACAUUCACUGUGGUACCAGAGCACCUUGGAGUCAAGAACUCAGUGGGAAAAUUCCCCAUUUACAGACCUGUGAAACAAGAAUUUGCAAGCUACAGCUAAGAAGAGAGAAAAUGACUUGCCUACGUUUACGCAGCAUGCCAGUGGAAGAGCAAGGACUAGAAUGUGGAUCUCCCACGUCCUAACUCAGUGCCCUAUCCAGCAGACCACACUGCCCCUCCUGUCUUGCCAGUUCUGGAAAAAGCAAGGUCUCCCCAAGAAUGAAUGGAAUCUGGGGUACUGUGUUAUUCAUCACCCUGUUUACUAGCAGAAAAACAAAGACUUCAUUUGGAAGCUACAAGAAGAGACUAUAAGGAAGAAUUCUGCAUUAGAAUAGGAGGGAAUCAGUCCUGAGAUCAUGUUGUUAGUUUGGGGGUCUCUGUCUCAUGGAGAAGCACACAGUCUGUGAAUCAAAAUGCAGUAGCCCACUGUUCUUCUCCACUCCUGUAACACUGUCAUUUUGAUGAGAGGAGGAAAGGAUUGAAAAUAUUGGACUCACUUCUCUUUCCUGGACGAGUUCCUGUAUUCCAUGGAGCCCGCACCAGCACCUUUAUUUCACUUUCCUAAUCCCUGCCACUGCAUGCCAACCUUCUCUUUGAAAAUAUGGAUAGGAUUUUUUUUUUGUAAAAGAG